CCUACGGGAGGCAGCAGUGGGGAAUCUUGGACAAUGGGGGGAACCCUGAUCCAGCGACGCCGCGUGAGUGAAGAAGUAUUUCGGUAUGUAAAGCUCUAUCAGCAGGGAAGAAAGAAAUGACGGUACCUGACUAAGAAGCACAGGCUAACUACGUGCCAGCAGACGCUGUAAUACGUAGGGGGCAAGCGUUAUCCGGAUUUACUGGGUGUAAAGGCAGCGUAGACGGCGAUGCAAGUCUGAAGUGAAAGGCGGGGGCCCAACCCCCAGACUGCUUUGGAAACUGUAUGGCUGGAGUGCAGGAGAGGUAAGUGGAAUUGCUAGUGUAGCGGUGAAAUGCGUAGAUAGUAGGAGGAACACCAGUGGCGAAGGCGGCUUACUGGACUGUAACUGACGUUGAGGCUCGAAAGCGUGGGGAGCAAACAGGAUUAGAUACCCCGGUAGUC
rnacentral:rRNA from 1 species